GAUCCUGGCUCAGAAUCAACGCUGGCGGCGUGCCUAACACAUGCAAGUCGAACGCGAAAGCCCCGCAAGGGGCAAGUAGAGUGGCAAACGGGUGAGUAACACGUGGGUGACCUGCCUUCGAGCGGGGGAUAACGUCCCGAAAGGGACGCUAAUACCGCAUAACAUCCUGCCUUUGAAGAGGUGGAGAUCAAAGCUGGGGAUCGCAAGACCCGGCACUUGAAGAGGGGCCCGCGUCUGAUUAGCUAGUUGGUGGGGUAACGGCCUACCAAGGCGACGAUCGGUAGCUGGUCUGAGAGGACGGCCAGCCACAAUGGCACUGAAACACGGGCCAUACUCCUACGGGAGGCAGCAG
rnacentral:rRNA from 1 species